rnacentral:rRNA from 1 species
GGGUUGUGAGGUUAAGCGACUAAGCGUACACGGUGGAUGCCUAGGCAGUCAGAGGCGAUGAAGGACGCGCUAAUCUGCGAAAAGCGUCGGUAAGCUGAUAUGAAGCGAUAUGAGCCGGCGAUGUCCGAAUGGGGAAACCCAGUGCAAUGCGUUGCACUAUCAUUAACUGAAUCCAUAGGUUAAUGAGGCGAACCGGGGGAACUGAAACAUCUCAGUACCCCGAGGAAAAGAAAUCAACCGAGAUUCCCCCAGUAGCGGCGAGCGAACGGGGAGGAGCCCAGAACCUGCAUCAGCCACAGCAUCAGAGGAACGGUCUGGAAAGGCCGGCGAGAGAGGGUGACAGCCCCGUACUCGAAGAUGGCGUGGUUGUGAGUUCGACGAGUAAGGCGGGACACGAGAAAUCCUGUCUGAAGAAGGGGGGACCAUCCUCCAAGGCUAAAUACUCCUGACUGACCGAUAGUGAACCAGUACCGUGAGGGAAAGGCGAAAAGAACCCCGGCGAGGGGAGUGAAAGAGAACCUGAAACCGUGUACGUACAAGCAGUGGGAGCCCCACCACCAAAGCGUUUCGCUUUGCGUGGCGCACAAAAUGCGUAACGACAUCACUGAUGCGCGGUUGGCGGAGCGACAGCGACGCCCAACACAAUCAUCAAGCAGUGGAGCGUUUUGGGGUGGGGUGACUGCGUACCUUUUGUAUAAUGGGUCAGCGACUUAUAUUCUGUAGCAAGGUUAACCGCAUAGGGGAGCCGCAGGGAAACCGAGUCUUAACUGGGCGAAAUGAGUUGCAGGGUAUAGACCCGAAACCCGGUGAGCUAGCCAUGGGCAGGUUGAAGGUUGGGUAACACUAACUGGAGGACCGAACCGACUAAUGUUGAAAAAUUAGCGGAUGACUUGUGGCUGGGGGUGAAAGGCCAAUCAAACCGGGAGAUAGCUGGUUCUCCCCGAAAGCUAUUUAGGUAGCGCCUCGUGAGUUCAUCUUCGGGGGUAGAGCACUGUUUCGGCUAGGGGGCCAUCCCGGCUUACCAACCCGAUGCAAACUGCGAAUACCGAAGAAUGUCAUCACGGGAGACACACGGCGGGUGCUAACGUCCGUCGUGAAGAGGGAAACAACCCAGACCGCCAGCUAAGGUCCCGAAGUCAUGGUUAAGUGGGAAACGAUGUGGGAAGGCCCAGACAGCCAGGAUGUUGGCUUAGAAGCAGCCAUCAUUGAAAGAAAGCGUAAUAGCUCACUGGUCGAGUCGGCCUGCGCGGAAGAUGUAACGGGGCUAAACCAUGCGCCGAAGCUGCGGCAUUCAGAGGACAGAUUUCAGAAGACAGAGGACGGAAUGAUGUCAUAUGGAUUCGAGCAAUUGGACGUGUUUAAGAAAGCUUAUCGAAUUUCGUUAGAAAUUCAUCAGGUGAGUUUGACAUUUCCUCAGUACGAACAAUAUGGAUUAGCGGACCAGGUCGGGCGGGCAAGUAAGGGCAUUUGCGUCCAACCUUGCCGAGGGCUUUGGUAAGCAGCAUUAUUCCAAACCCGAGUUCAGGCGUUUCAUUAGUAUAGCCUUAGGCAGUGCCGAUGAGAUGCGUGUAUGGUUAAGAUAUUGUCUGGAUUUGGGCUAUAUCAAUCGGGUUCAGUGGCAGGAAUGGCGCGAUGGACUAUGAAGAGAUAGCGAAAAUGCUGACUGGACUGGGGCGGCGUCUGUAAGCUGUAUUCUGACGUCUGUUCUCUGAAUGGGUAGGGGAGCGUUCUGUAAGCCGGUGAAGGCGGCGCCGUGAGGCCUGCUGGAGGUAUCAGAAGUGCGAAUGCUGACAUAAGUAACGAUAAAGCGGGUGAAAAACCCGCUCGCCGGAAGACCAAGGGUUCCUGUCCAACGUUAAUCGGGGCAGGGUGAGUCGACCCCUAAGGCGAGGCCGAACGGCGUAGCUGAUGGGAAACAGGUUAAUAUUCCUGUACUGAAUGUGACUGCGAAGGGGGGACGGAGAAGGCUAGGCCAUCCGGGCGACGGUCGUCCCGGUUUAAGCGUGUAGGUGGGAGGAGCAGGCAAAUCCGCUCUUCUUUUAACACUGAGGCGUGAUGACGAGCCGCUACGGCGGUGAAGUGGUUGAUGCCCGGCUUCCAGGAAAAGCCUCUAAGCAUCAGGUGACAUUGAAUCGUACCCCAAACCGACACAGGUGGUCAGGUAGAGAAUACUCAGGCGCUUGAGAGAACUCGGGUGAAGGAACUAGGCAAAAUGGUGCCGUAACUUCGGGAGAAGGCACGCUGGCGUUAGGUGAAGGGGUUUGCCCCCGGAGCCGAAGCCAGUCGCAGAGACCAGCUGGCUGCAACUGUUUAUUAAAAACACAGCACUGUGCCAACACGUAAGUGGACGUAUACGGUGUGACGCCUGCCCGGUGCUGGAAGGUUAAUUGAUGGGGUUAGCCGCAAGGCGACGCUCUUGAUCGAAGCCCCAGUAAACGGCGGCCGUAACUAUAACGGUCCUAAGGUAGCGAAAUUCCUUGUCGGGUAAGUUCCGACCUGCACGAAUGGCGUAAUGAUGGCCAGGCUGUCUCCACCCGAGACUCAGUGAAAUUGAACUCGCUGUGAAGAUGCAGUGUUCCCGCGGCAAGACGGAAAGACCCCGUGAACCUUUACUAUAGCUUGACACUGAACAUGGAGCCUUGAUGUGUAGGAUAGGUGGGAGGCUUGGAAGUGCGGACGCCAGUCUGCAUGGAGCCAUCCUUGAAAUACCACCCUUGAAUGCUCGAUGUUCUCACUUAGGCCCGUCAUCCGGGCUGAGGACAGUGUCUGGCGGGUAGUUUGACUGGGGCGGUCUCCUCCCAAAGCGUAACGGAGGAGCACGAAGGUUGGCUAAUCACGGUCGGACAUCGUGAGGUUAGUGCAAAGGCAUAAGCCAGCUUAACUGCGAGAGUGACGGCUCGAGCAGGUACGAAAGUAGGUCUUAGUGAUCCGGUGGUUCUGAAUGGAAGGGCCAUCGCUCAACGGAUAAAAGGUACUCCGGGGAUAACAGGCUGAUACCGCCCAAGAGUUCAUAUCGACGGCGGUGUUUGGCACCUCGAUGUCGGCUCAUCACAUCCUGGGGCUGAAGUAGGUCCCAAGGGUAUGGCUGUUCGCCAUUUAAAGUGGUACGCGAGCUGGGUUUAGAACGUCGUGAGACAGUUCGGUCCCUAUCUGCCGUGGGCGCAGGAAGAUUGAAAGGGGCUGCUCCUAGUACGAGAGGACCGGAGUGGACGCACCGCUGGUGUACGGGUUGUCAUGCCAAUGGCAUAGCCCGGUAGCUAAGUGCGGGAGAGAUAACCGCUGAAAGCAUCUAAGCGGGAAACUUGCCUUGAGAUGAGUCUUCCCUUGACUUGAGGUCACGGAAGGAACGUUUAAGACGAAGACGUGGAUAGGCUGGGUGUGUAAGUGCAGCGAUGCAUUGAGCUGACCAGUACUAAUGAACCGAGAGGCUUAACCUUACAACGCCGAAGGUGUUU